rnacentral:rRNA from 1 species
UACGUAGGGUGCGAGCGUUAAUCGGAAUUACUGGGCGUAAAGCGUGCGCAGGCGGUUUACUAAGACAGGUGUGAAAUCCCCGGGCUUAACCUGGGAAUGGCGCUUGUGACUGGUAGGCUAGAGUACGUCAGAGGGGGGUGGAAUUCCACGUGUAGCAGUGAAAUGCGUAGAGAUGUGGAGGAAUACCGAUGGCGAAGGCAGCCCCCUGGGAUGAUACUGACGCUCAGGCACGAAAGCGUGGGGAGCAAACAGG